ensembl:lncRNA
AGCAUAUGAAAAAACAUCAAUUACAACAUCACAAAGUGGUUUAAUAGUGGUAGUAUUUGUAUAUUACUUACCUGGGCUAUAACUAAAGCUAAAAGCUAAAGCUAACACUGUUUUAUGUUCAGUAGGAAAAAGCCCUUGGUAUCGCAGACUGGGUGGGGGUGUAACCGAGGUACCGAACACACACGUUAAACACUAUUAUAUCAUCUAACAUCAUUUCUGGAUCAUUCAAAAGUUUUCCAGAUUUUUUAUGCCCAAAAAUCCAGAGAAAUGUUGCGCAUGUCUGGACUCUUCGCCUCUGCUCCGUUUCUGGUCGGACGCCCAUAGCUGAUGGACCGUUGCUAUGGGAACACUUUGAGCUAACGAAGCUAACCGGAGGUUAACGAAGAUAAAAUACUAUGAAUAUAAAGGUCUGCCAGGGUCUAUCGGAGGAUUUAUGGAUUUAAAGACUUCCGAGAGAGCGGUGGAAUAAUAGGUUUGACAGAUAUGAAGGCCACGAAGUGAGAAAAACGAGGCGAAGUGACGAACAAUAACAUAUUAAUAACAUAAACGGUUUACUGCGGUCCCGCUGGGCUCAGCAUUUCUACUGCAGUCACAUCUAACUGGACUAUCAUCAGGAAUAAACCAGGUUGGAUCAUGUCUUCCUCUGCUCUGGCCCUGUUCCCAUGGCGACCCCCGACCCCACGUUGACCCCAGACCCUCCGUCCCGCUUCAGCAGCGCCCCCCCCUGGCCGCCAAAGCCCUGAGUGACGCCUUUGCAGGGAUGCGGUACCGCGACACGUCUUUCCUGGUGUGGAGCCAGCAGCAGCUGCAGGCCACGCCCCUCACUCCUACCUCAGCCGCUCACAGCAGGCCUGGUACAGUAACCACGGCAACCAGCCUGUCCUAGUGCCCGAGCGGGGCGUGCGCCCACAGACCGAGUCCCGGAUCUGCUCCCUACAGUAGAACCUCAUGGCGGGAGCUGACUUUGCUGCAAUACCACCCCCUGGUGGUCAGAGGCCACUCCAAAAGACACUUUUCAAAACAGAUUCCAAUGGCGUUUAUGCACCUCCCUUGCACUGCUUAAAAGCCUGGCUCCAAAGAGUAAGCCCAAGAAUCAGCGCAGGAGUUGACCAUCCGUGACAUGGAAAACCCAAAUGUGCUUAGUGUACUUUACACUGUAUGAAAACAACUGGCUCAGCAGUCGAGCAUUUCCAAAGGUUUCUACAGUCCAAUUUGUAGCAUUGAAACUGCAUUUUUUAAUGCAAUUUCAAUGCCACAAAAUGUAUGCACACUGGAAAAAAUAAAAUGUAAGUAGUUUUCCUCUAGUCUUAGAUAAAAUAGAAAGUCUUAUCACAUAUACUGGAACAAGCACAUUCUUUCUUAAUUCAGAUUAUUUUGUAUUAUUUCAAGUGAAAAAUAAUAUUUUUUAAAUGUAAAAGUCAAUUAUCUUAUUCCAAGUGGUAUUCAUACUUGAUCUCAACUUUGAUAAGAGAUCAAAAAUUAAAAAGUCACAGAAAUCUUUUGUGGGAUGGGAUCUUUCUGGGAUGCGGUACCGCAUGUUUUGAACCAUAGUUUUCAUAGUUUUUGUAUUUUUGUUGAACCUAUGGAGUAAGCAAAGUCAAAGAGAACAGGAAAUCAAAUGGAAUAUUUCUGAAUGCCUUGUUCAGGAGUAUAUCACAGAGUUUGCAUGUUUUAUGCAUGUUUUUAUCAUUUGAUUUGAUCUUUAUGUAAUCUGCACUGAACAGUAUUACGUGUAUUAUUUAUAUUAUAAACUGUAUUUUUUGCCAAAUUUCCCGUAAGUAUUCCCUGAUCCAACCUGUGCAGUGUUUCAGACCAAUAAACGCUUUCAAAGGGAU